CCUACGGGGGGCUGCAGUGGGGAAUAUUGGACAAUGGGGGGAACCCUGAUCCAGCCAUGCCGCGUGUGUGAAGAAGGCCCUCGGGUUGUAAAGCACUUUCAGUGAGGAAGAACGCCUGGUGGUUAAUACCCAUCAGGAAAGACAUCACUCACAGAAGAAGCACCGGCUAACUCCGUGCCAGCAGCCGCGGUAAUACGGAGGGUGGCGAGCGUUAAUCGGAAUUACUGGGCGUAAAGCGCGCGUAGGUGGCUUGAUAAGCCGGUUGUGAAAGCCCCGGGCUCAACCUGGGAACGGCAUCCGGAACUGUCAAGCUAGAGUGCAGGAGAGGAAGGUAGAAUUCCCGGUGUAGCGGUGAAAUGCGUAGAGAUCGGGAGGAAUACCAGUGGCGAAGGCGGCCUUCUGGACUGACACUGACACUGAGGUGCGAAAGCGUGGGUAGCAAACAGGAUUAGAUACCCUUGUAGUC
rnacentral:rRNA from 1 species